CUCGAUGAGUAGGGCGGGACACGUGGUAUCCUGUCUGAAUAUGGGGGGCCCAUCCUCCAAGGCUAAAUACUCCUGACUGACCGAUAGUGAACCAGUACCGUGAGGGAAAGGCGAAAAGAACCCCGGCGAGGGGAGUGAAAAAGAACCUGAAACCGUGUACGUACAAGCAGUGGGAGCACGCUUAGGCGUGUGACUGCGUACCUUUUGUAUAAUGGGUCAGCGACUUAUAUUCUGUAGCAAGGUUAACCGAAUAGGGGAGCCGAAGGGAAACCGAGUCUUAACUGGGCGUUAAGUUGCAGGGUAUAGACCCGAAACCCGGUGAUCUAGCCAUGGGCAGGUUGAAGGUUGGGUAACACUAACUGGAGGACCGAACCGACUAAUGUUGAAAAAUUAGCGGAUGACUUGUGGCUGGGGGUGAAAGGCCAAUCAAACCGGGAGAUAGCUGGUUCUCCCCGAAAGCUAUUUAGGUAGCGCCUCGUGAAUUCAUCUCCGGGGGUAGAGCACUGUUUCGGCAAGGGGGUCAUCCCGACUUACCAACCCGAUGCAAACUGCGAAUACCGGAGAAUGUUAUCACGGGAGACACACGGCGGGUGCUAACGUCCGUCGUGAAGAGGGAAACAACCCAGACCGCCAGCUAAGGUCCCAAAGUCAUGGUUAAGUGGGAAACGAUGUGGGAAGGCCCAGACAGCCAGGAUGUUGGCUUAGAAGCAGCCAUCAUUUAAAGAAAGCGUAAUAGCUCACUGGUCGAGUCGGCCUGCGCGGAAGAUGUAACGGGGCUAAACCAUGCACCGAAGCUGCGGCAGCGACGCUUAUGCGUUGUUGGGUAGGGGAGCGUUCUGUAAGCCUGCGAAGGUGUGCUGUGAGGCAUGCUGGAGGUAUCAGAAGUGCGAAUGCUGACAUAAGUAACGAUAAAGCGGGUGAAAAGCCCGCUCGCCGGAAGACCAAGGGUUCCUGUCCAACGUUAAUCGGGGCAGGGUGAGUCGACCCCUAAGGCGAGGCCGAAAGGCGUAGUCGAUGGGAAACAGGUUAAUAUUCCUGUACUUGGUGUUACUGCGAAGGGGGGACGGAGAAGGCUAUGUUGGCCGGGCGACGGUUGUCCCGGUUUAAGCGUGUAGGCUGGUUUUCCAGGCAAAUCCGGAAAAUCAAGGCUGAGGCGUGAUGACGAGGCACUACGGUGCUGAAGCAACAAAUGCCCUGCUUCCAGGAAAAGCCUCUAAGCAUCAGGUAACAUCAAAUCGUACCCCAAACCGACACAGGUGGUCAGGUAGAGAAUACCAAGGCGCUUGAGAGAACUCGGGUGAAGGAACUAGGCAAAAUGGUGCCGUAACUUCGGGAGAAGGCACGCUGAUAUGUAGGUGAAGUCCCUUGCGGAUGGAGCUGAAAUCAGUCGAAGAUACCAGCUGGCUGCAACUGUUUAUUAAAAACACAGCACUGUGCAAACACGAAAGUGGACGUAUACGGUGUGACGCCUGCCCGGUGCCGGAAGGUUAAUUGAUGGGGUCAGCGCAAGCGAAGCUCUUGAUCGAAGCCCCGGUAAACGGCGGCCGUAACUAUAACGGUCCUAAGGUAGCGAAAUUCCUUGUCGGGUAAGUUCCGACCUGCACGAAUGGCGUAAUGAUGGCCAGGCUGUCUCCACCCGAGACUCAGUGAAAUUGAACUCGCUGUGAAGAUGCAGUGUACCCGCGGCAAGACGGAAAGACCCCGUGAACCUUUACUAUAGCUUGACACUGAACAUUGAGCCUUGAUGUGUAGGAUAGGUGGGAGGCUUUGAAGUGUGGACGCCAGUCUGCAUGGAGCCGGCCUUGAAAUACCACCCUUUAAUGUUUGAUGUUCUAACGUGGACCCGUGAUCCGGGUUGCGGACAGUGUCUGGUGGGUAGUUUGACUGGGGCGGUCUCCUCCUAAAGAGUAACGGAGGAGCACGAAGGUUGGCUAAUCCUGGUCGGACAUCAGGAGGUUAGUGCAAUGGCAUAAGCCAGCUUGACUGCGAGCGUGACGGCGCGAGCAGGUGCGAAAGCAGGUCAUAGUGAUCCGGUGGUUCUGAAUGGAAGGGCCAUCGCUCAACGGAUAAAAGGUACUCCGGGGAUAACAGGCUGAUACCGCCCAAGAGUUCAUAUCGACGGCGGUGUUUGGCACCUCGAUGUCGGCUCAUCACAUCCUGGGGCUGAAGUAGGUCCCAAGGGUAUGGCUGUUCGCCAUUUAAAGUGGUACGCGAGCUGGGUUUAGAACGUCGUGAGACAGUUC
rnacentral:rRNA from 1 species